GGGGGUAUAGCUCAGCUGGGAGAGCACCUGCUUUGCAAGCAGGGGGUCAACGGUUCGAUCCCGUUUACCUCCACCA
rnacentral:tRNA from 7 species